UGCCCGAUUGUGUAAAGGUAGCACGACAGACUCUGACUCUGUUUGUGAGGGUUCGAAUCCUUCUCGGGCAACCA
rnacentral:tRNA from 1 species